GAAACGACAUCGAAAGCUUGCUUUUGAUGGGCGUCGACCGGCGCACGGGUGAGUAACGCGUAUCCAACCUGCCCACCACUUGGGGAUAACCUUGCGAAAGUAAGACUAAUACCCAAUGAUAUCUCUAGAAGACAUCUGAAAGAGAUUAAAGAUUUAUCGGUGAUGGAUGGGGAUGCGUCUGAUUAGCUUGUUGGCGGGGUAACGGCCCACCAAGGCGACGAUCAGUAGGGGUUCUGAGAGGAAGGUCCCCCACAUUGGAACUGAGACACGGUCCAAACUCCUACGGGAGGCAGCAGUGAGGAAUAUUGGUCAAUGGGCGAGAGCCUGAACCAGCCAAGUAGCGUGCAGGAUGACGGCCCUAUGGGUUGUAAACUGCUUUUAUAAAGGGAAUAAAGUGAGUCUCGUGAGACUUUUUGCAUGUACCUUAUGAAUAAGGACCGGCUAAUUCCGUGCCAGCAGCCGCGGUAAUACGGAAGGUCCGGGCGUUAUCCGGAUUUAUUGGGUAAAAAGGGAGCGUAGGCCGGAGAUUAAGCGUGUUGUGAAAUGUAGACGCUCAACGUCUGCACUGCAGCGCGAACUGGUUUCCUUGAGUACGCACAAAGUGGGCGGAAUUCGUGGUGUAGCGGUGAAAUGCUUAGAUAUCACGAAGAACUCCGAUUGCGAAGGCAGCUCACUGGAGCGCAACUGACGCUGAAGCUCGAAAGUGCGGGUAUCGAACAGGAUUAGAUACCCUGGUAGUCCGCACGGUAAACGAUGGAUGCCCGCUGUUGGUCUGAAUAGGUCAGCGGCC
rnacentral:rRNA from 1 species